rnacentral:rRNA from 1 species
GAUGAACGCUGGCGGCGUGCCUAAUACAUGCAAGUCGAACGCUUCACUUCGGUGAAGAGUGGCGAACGGGUGAGUAAUACAUAAGUAACCUGGCAUCUACAGGGGGAUAACUGAUGGAAACGUCAGCUAAGACCGCAUAGGUGUAGAGAUCGCAUGAACUCUAUAUGAAAAGUGCUACGGGACUGGUAGAUGAUGGACUUAUGGCGCAUUAGCUUGUUGGUAGGGUAACGGCCUACCAAGGCGACGAUGCGUAGCCGACCUGAGAGGGUGACCGGCCACACUGGGACUGAGACACGGCCCAGACUCCUACGGGAGGCAGCAGUAGGGAAUUUUCGGCAAUGGGGGAAACCCUGACCGAGCAACGCCGCGUGAAGGAAGAAGUAAUUCGUUAUGUAAACUUCUGCCAUAGAGGAAGAACGGUGGAUAUAGGGAAUGAUAUCCAAGUGACGGUACUCUAUAAGAAAGCCACGGCUAACUACGUG